CCUACGGGUGGCAGCAGUGAGGAAUAUUGGUCAAUGGACGCAAGUCUGAACCAGCCAAGCAGCGUGUAGGAUGAAUGCCCUCUGGGUUGUAAGCUUCUUUUAUAUGGGAAUAAAAUGUUCCACGUGUGGGAUUUUGUAUGUACCAUAUGCAUAAGGAUCGGCUAACUCCGUGCCAGCAGCCGCGGUACUACGGAGGAUACGAGGGUAAUCCGAAUUUAUUGGGUUUAAAGGGAGCGUAGGUGGAUUGUUAAGUCAGUUGUGAAAGUUUGGGGCUCAACCGGAAAAUUGCAGUUGAUACUGGCAGUCUUGAGUACAGUAGAGGUGGGCGGAAUUCGUGGUGUAGCGGUGAAAUGCGUAGAUAUCACGAAGAACGCCGAUGGCGAAGGCAGCUCACUGGACGGCGACUGACACUGAGGUGCGAAAGUGUGGGUAUCAAACAGGAUUAGAUACCCCAGUAGUC
rnacentral:rRNA from 1 species